UUUUUCAUUUGCAACUUCAUGUUGGCCUUGUAGAUCUAAAUAGGAUCAAAUUUUAGGGUGGACUCACUUGCAGACCUAGAGAAGGGGUAUAUUCUUUCAUCAUUUUAUUUUUAUUAUUAUUUUUCUGGUUUGUUUAUUUUCUUUCUACUUGCAUCUACAUCAACUAUGGAUUUGGCAUGGACUAUGGAUUUUCUAAGGGAUAUUUGUGAUGAAGCUUUAGAGUUUUACGUGAUUAUGAUUUGAGUUCAGGUACGGUUAAAAUAUAAUUUAUGUCCAAGAUGUAACAUUAUUUGUUACUCUCUUUUACUUAGUAAUGAAUGUGGUGAAACUUCCUAGUGUGGACCUACCCUAAGAAGCUGGUUUGUGGUUUAAGCGUUUCUAUGUAAAGUAUGUUUCAGGAAAAUGGCUCGAUACCUUCCUCCUUGAAGAGAUCUUCGCUACAGUUUGUUUUGUGCAUGUUAUCAAUAUCAGAUUCUUAAUUGGAUCUUCAAAUUGUUGACUUGUUUUGGAGAAUAAAUCUUUUGCACUGGAAACAUAGUAUCAAUUUGCUGGUUAACCUUUUGUUUUGCGCCCAUUUCAAUUUCUGAGUUGCCCUGUAGCAAGAAGACCAGCAAAAACUUUAGUGUAAAACAUCAUAUGGAGUACUUUGUUUAGACCUUCAAAUGGUUGGGGUGGUUCUUCUUCUUCUAAAGGGAUUGAUGGUUGUGGGGGUUCAAUUCUCAAGUUCAAUUGAGAAUGCUCAGUUGAAACUUCAUCUGGAUCUCACAUCAGGUCCUUGUUGUGACGUCAACUCAUUAUAGAUUCCAAGUGGUUUUGUGAUACCUGUACUCCUGGACAUUUCCAUCUUAGAGAGGAGUUCUGAGGUAGGAAUGUCCAAGAGUGAAGUGAUAAGUCCACAAGCCAUGGUUUGAAUGUCCAAUGACGUUCAUUGCAUCAAUAUAGAUUCAUAAUGGUGUACAACAUUAUUUGGUAUGGAACCAAACUUAAUAGAAGUUAGAAGGUUAGCUGGAAAGCGAUCCGAUUUUGUGGUGUGAGAGGAUUAGUCCUAAUGGAGAUGGCAUCCUCUGGGACAGAUAAUUAUUGAAAAAAUCAUAGUUGUUGGAGGCAGAAGUGGGUUCGAUAGCGAGAUCAGUUUAGGGAACUCGGAACUGCCAUAGGGUAGAAGUUCUCUGGGGUUAGGAUCAAUGUCCAUAAAUUCAACCAGUUAAGGAACUAAAUCCUAGGAUACUUGGGAGUGUGGUCCCAUUUCACUGGGAUUGAGGUUUUGGCUUGGAGGGAUCUAAGUUCCUCUGUACAUGAAACAAAAUUAAUUAGUAGUAUAUGAUAAAAUUACGAUCAAUGACUACUCGAUCCAUUAUCACACACCUUAGUUUAUUACCAAUGCCAUAAUUAUAGAACUCCAAUUUAAUAGAAUACAAUUUAACAAUAUAUUAUAAAUUGGCUUACUAUGAUAUUAAACUAUAGUUUUUUAAUACUCUAAUUCUAGUAUAUCACAAUGUGAGAUGCACUACAAUUUAACAUAUACUAAAGAAAUAAAUAUAUAAGACUCUACUACCAAGGAGAGGAGCAGUAGUUCAAUCAAAAGUAUAGGUCCUCUCCUUGGAGGGAUCCAAUGAGUAUGUAGACCGAGAUCCGAUUUUAUAGAGAGUGAGAUCCCUAUUUCUCCAAACCGAGUUCCCUCUAAGAUCCCUUAUGGAAACCGCGGGAACGAGUUCCUGAGGUGGGACCGUGACCUUACCCCCAGGUUCCCUUACUUAUGAAAAAAAUUGUUGGUUAUUUGACUAUAGUUCUGAGAAUGCCUGCAUCCUCAUGGAAACUUUUAUGGUUUGAGUCUAGGUUCCUAAAGCCUCAAACAUAACCGGAGGUUUUCAAUUCUCUGGGACAAUUCAAGGAUUCAAAAACCAGACCGCCCGAUGCCUAGGCAGCCCAAGACGGGCAGGAUGUACCUGGGUGGGCGCCCAGGGCUGUGGGCCCUUUUCCGUUUUUUUAAGUUGCCCAAAAGGGUGAAGGGGUUCAUUUUGACCCGAAGAUAGUAUAAAAAUGUUAUAGGGGAUAGUUUUAACCCCCAAAAGUUAUUUAAAAAAAAAAAAAAAA